AAAAAAGUAGGAUGAUGUUUAAUUUGAUAGCAGCGUCACUGCAAACUAUAGGAACAUUUUGUUCAUUGUCAUUGGGUGAACCGUUGGUUCAUCAGUAUAAUAAGUGAGUU